rnacentral:rRNA from 1 species
AUUGAACGCUGGCGGAAUGCUUUACACAUGCAAGUCGAACGGCAGCACGGACUUCGGUCUGGUGGCGAGUGGCGAACGGGUGAGUAAUACAUCGGAACGUGCCCAGUCGUGGGGGAUAACGUAGCGAAAGCUACGCUAAUACCGCAUACGAUCUAAGGAUGAAAGCGGGGGAUCGCAAGACCUCGCGCGAUUGGAGCGGCCGAUGGCAGAUUAGGUAGUUGGUGGGGUAAAGGCUCACCAAGCCGACGAUCUGUAGCUGGUCUGAGAGGACGACCAGCCACACUGGGACUGAGACACGGCCCAGACUCCUACGGGAGGCAGCAGUGGGGAAUUUUGGACAAUGGGCGCAAGCCUGAUCCAGCCAUUCCGCGUGCAGGAUGAAGGCCCUCGGGUUGUAAACUGCUUUUGUACGGAACGAAAAGGCUCUGGUUAAUACCCGGGGCUCAUGACGGUACCGUAAGAAUAAGCACCGGCUAACUACGUGCCAGCAGCAGCCGCAG